CGGACAUACCAACAGCAUCAUUCCUAUUAUGCCAAAGGGUUGGUGGAGGGGUGAAGAGCAAGGAGAAGAGCUGGACGAGAGAGGGGCUGCUGAGUCAGGGUCAGUAGUCAAGCUUUGAACCAAUGACACUGGGAACACUCCAUCCAUCCUCAAAGUGAGGGUCUGAUGGGCUGAGUGCUGCACUUUGGAAAAUAUCUGCAUGAGUCAUCCAUACUAUGUCCUCACCUUGACCAAGCCCCAAUCAAGGUCCUCGCAUUGGGGCGAUGUUCCUUAGAGGGAAUGCUAGCCGACAUGACUAGCUCCUACCGCUUAAAACCAGAGAGAGACAUGAGACAGUAAAAGGGUAGACCGCAUAGCUGAGGAUACAGCAUGAACUUGAUACACACACACACACACACACACACACACACACACACACACACACACACACACACACACACACACACACACACACACACACACACACACACACACACACACACACACACACACAGAGGCAUGCAUACACACAUAGGCAUACAAACUUACCAACAAACACAUCAACAAACAAACACACACACCGGAGAUAGAGAUCCACCCCAUUGAACCUACAAGGUAUCUCCUUAUCUGUCAUGCUGAAAAAGAAUCAAUGCAGCUGGUUAUUUUUUUGUCUGUACAAUGUGGGGGAAGGGCCCAGCAGGCUGUAUGUUAUAGAUAUGGACCUAAUGGGAGGCUGGGAUAUUAAUAUAUACGUCUGCUCUUCAUCAGGCCCAGAGAACUGGAAAAAUACAUACCCAGCAGACAUAUACAUGAGGAGGUCUUGGUCGGGUCGGUGUGUGUGUGUGCGUGUGUGCGUGUGUGCGUGUGUGCGUGUGUGCGUGUGUGUGUGUGUGUGUGGGUUUGUUUGACCAUUCUGAGGAAAAGCCUUCAGGCAUUGAGAUGGAAAUAAUGAUUUCUGUCUUUUUCAAUAUAUCUGAAGCAUUCAUUAAUCAUAACUGUAUUUAUCUGACCAAGCCUUGAAUGCCAAAGACACUAAAUUGAACUUGUCAUUAACAAAAAAUAUAGAUUAGACAUAUAUUACAAUAUAUUAUUUAUUUAAGAUAUUCACAUUCCCUUUAAUAUGUA
ensembl:lncRNA